CCCUUAUAUCUUCCAUGUUCUUCGGAACUAUGGACAUAAACGCGCUCGCAAUAAGCGGAUCGGACCCGGGGGCGGUACCCGGCGGCUCCACCAAACAUCCUUCAUUUGAGGAUCAUGGGGCCGAAACAGGAUCGACGAACGUCUAAAGGGGUUAGCUUUGUUUCGGUGAGAUACCACCGUUAUCGGUUCAAAACGUACAAUUGCAAAUGACAAUCGUGCACCAGUAGCGAUGGCCGCGUAAGCGACCGGAGAGACUGAACUCUUAAGCCCUAGCGCCUUGCAGCACUAGGCGGGGUCCGCAGGCACCUGGCAACAGAAGCCUGCACUUUACU
rnacentral:tmRNA from 1 species